rnacentral:rRNA from 1 species
AGAGUUUGAUCAUGGCUCAGAUUGAACGCUGGCGGCAGGCCUAACACAUGCAAGUCGAGCGGUAGCACAGAGAGCUUGCUCUCGGGUGACGAGCGGCGGACGGGUGAGUAAUGUCUGGGAAACUGCCUGAUGGAGGGGGAUAACUACUGGAAACGGUAGCUAAUACCGCAUAACGUCGCAAGACCAAAGUGGGGGACCUUCGGGCCUCAUGCCAUCAGAUGUGCCCAGAUGGGAUUAGCUAGUAGGUGGGGUAACGGCUCACCUAGGCGACGAUCCCUAGCUGGUCUGAGAGGAUGACCAGCCACACUGGAACUGAGACACGGUCCAGACUCCUACGGGAGGCAGCAGUGGGGAAUAUUGCACAAUGGGCGCAAGCCUGAUGCAGCCAUGCCGCGUGUGUGAAGAAGGCCUUCGGGUUGUAAAGCACUUUCAGCGGGGAGGAAGGCGGUGAGGUUAAUAACCUCAUCGAUUGACGUUACCCGCAGAAGAAGCACCGGCUAACUCCGUGCCAGCAGCCGCGGUAAUACGGAGGGUGCAAGCGUUAAUCGGAAUUACUGGGCGUAAAGCGCACGCAGGCGGUCUGUCAAGUCGGAUGUGAAAUCCCCGGGCUCAACCUGGGAACUGCAUUCGAAACUGGCAGGCUAGAGUCUUGUAGAGGGGGUAGAAUUCCAGGUGUAGCGGUGAAAUGCGUAGAGAUCUGGAGGAAUACCGGUGGCGAAGGCGGCCCCCUGGACAAAGACUGACGCUCAGGUGCGAAAGCGUGGGGAGCAAACAGGAUUAGAUACCCUGGUAGUCCACGCCGUAAACGAUGUCGAUUUGGAGGUUGUGCCCUUGAGGCGUGGCUUCCGGAGCUAACGCGUUAAAUCGACCGCCUGGGGAGUACGGCCGCAAGGUUAAAACUCAAAUGAAUUGACGGGGGCCCGCACAAGCGGUGGAGCAUGUGGUUUAAUUCGAUGCAACGCGAAGAACCUUACCUGGUCUUGACAUCCACAGAACUUAGCAGAGAUGCUUUGGUGCCUUCGGGAACUGUGAGACAGGUGCUGCAUGGCUGUCGUCAGCUCGUGUUGUGAAAUGUUGGGUUAAGUCCCGCAACGAGCGCAACCCUUAUCCUUUGUUGCCAGCGGUUCGGCCGGGAACUCAAAGGAGACUGCCAGUGAUAAACUGGAGGAAGGUGGGGAUGACGUCAAGUCAUCAUGGCCCUUACGACCAGGGCUACACACGUGCUACAAUGGCAUAUACAAAGAGAAGCGACCUCGCGAGAGCAAGCGGACCUCAUAAAGUAUGUCGUAGUCCGGAUUGGAGUCUGCAACUCGACUCCAUGAAGUCGGAAUCGCUAGUAAUCGUAGAUCAGAAUGCUACGGUGAAUACGUUCCCGGGCCUUGUACACACCGCCCGUCACACCAUGGGAGUGGGUUGCAAAAGAAGUAGGUAGCUUAACCUUCGGGAGGGCGCUUACCACUUUGUGAUUCAUGACUGGGGUGAAGUCGUAACAAGGUAACCGUAGGGGAACCUGCGGUUGGAUCACCU